CAAAUAUGAUGAAUCCAGAGAAUGGUUUCGCUUUUUCGACUGAUGUCGUGUGAUGUCACAUUUCUCUUGGCUGUCUGAUCCA